CUUUGAUUGACAGCUUUGUUUGACCCAACUCAUAUGGGUUAGUUGAAUUUGUAGAUGAUUUAUUGAAAAGAGUUCGUCUCGGCAUUGGAGAAGGCAUCUUACAAGAUCAAAUGGGUCUUGGCAAGACUAUUCAAACAAUUGGAUUUCUUUCUCAUCUGCAAGGAAAAAGAAUUCAUGGACCUUAUUUAGUACUAGCUCCUCUUUCUACCUUAUUGAACUGGCUAAUGAGAUAUCUAGGUUUACUCCUUCAAUAAAUGUUGUAUAUCAUGAAGAUACAUAAGCUAGGGAUGAGAUAAGGAAAA